UGCAUGUCUAAGUACAUGCCGUAUUAAGGCGAAACCGCGAAUGGCUCAUUAAAUCAGUUAUGGUUCCUUGGAUCGUACCUUACUACUUGGAUAACUGUGGCAAUUCUAGAGCUAAUACAUGCAGCAGAGCUCCGACCUUCGGGGACGAGCGCUUUUAUUAGACCAAAACCAAUCGGACCUCGUGUCCGUAAAUUGUGGUGACUCUGUAUAACUUUGGGCUGAUCGCACGGGCCCGUCCCGGCGACGUAUCUUUCAAGUGUCUGCCUUAUCAACUUUCGAUGGUAGGUUACGCGCCUACCAUGGUCGUAACGGGUAACGGGGAAUCAGGGUUCGAUUCCGGAGAGGGAGCCUGAGAAACGGCUACCACAUCCAAGGAAGGCAGCAGGCGCGCAAAUUACCCAAUCCCGGAACGGGGAGGUAGUGACGAAAAAUAACAAUACGGGACUCUUUUGAGACCCCGUAAUUGGAAUGAGUACACUCUAAAUCCUUUAACAAGGACCAAUAGGAGGGCAAGUCUGGUGCCAGCAGCUGCGGUAAUUCCAGCUCCUAUAGCGUAUAUUAAAGUUGUUGCGGUUAAAAAGCUCGUAGUUGGAUCUCAGUUCCAGACGGGUGGUCCGCCUACCGGUGGGUACUGCCUGUUCUGAACAGCCAGCCGGUUUCUCUUGAUGAUCUUCACCGGUUGUCUUGGGUGACCGGCAAGUUUACUUUGAAAAAAUUAGAGUGCUCAAAGCAGGCGUGACGCCUGAAUAAUGGUGCAUGGAAUAAUGGAAUAGGACCUCGGUUCUAUUUUGUUGGUUUUCGGAACACGAGGUAAUGAUUAAGAGGGACAGACGGGGGCAUUCGUAUUGCGACGCUAGAGGUGAAA
rnacentral:rRNA from 1 species